rnacentral:rRNA from 1 species
AACAAACGCUGGCGGCGUGCCUAAUACAUGCAAGUCGAACGGGGAAAGCUUUCGGGUGAGUACUAGUGGCGCACGGGUGAGUAACGCGUGGAUAAUCUGCCUUCGAGUCGGGGAUAACUAGUCGAAAGAUUAGCUAAUACCGGAUAAGACCACAGGAACUGAGGUUCUAGGGGUUAAAGGUUUUUCGUCUUGAAGAUGAGUCCGCGUGAGAUUAGCUAGUUGGUGAGGUAACGGCUCACCAAGGCAACGAUCUCUAACUGGUCUGAGAGGAUGAUCAGUCACACUGGAACUGAGACACGGUCCAGACUCCUACGGGAGGCAGCAGUAGGGAAUAUUGCACAAUAGGAGGAAACUACUGAUGCAGCGACGCCGCGUGAGUGAUGAAGG